rnacentral:misc_RNA from 1 species
GAUGAAGAACGUAGCGAAAUGCGAUAAGUAAUGUGAAUUGCAGAAUUCAGUGAAUCAUCGAAUCUUUGAACGCACAUUGCGCCCGCCAGUAUUCUGGCGGGCAUGCCUGUCUGAGCGUCAUUUCAACCCUCAUGCCCCUAGGGCGUGGUGUUGGGGAUCGGCCAAAGCCCGCGAGGAACGGCCGGCCCCUAAAUCUAGUGGCGGACCCGUCGUGGCCUCCUCUGCGAAGUAGUGAUAUUCCGCAUCGGAGAGCGACGAGCCCCUGCCGUUAAACCCCCAACUUUCCAAGGUUGACCUCAGAUCAGGUAGGAAUACCCGCUGAACUUAAGCAUAUCAAUAAGCGGAGGA